CAGUCGCCGCGGGAAUACGUAGGGUGCGAGCGUUAAUCGGAAUUACUGGGCGUAAAGCGUGCGCAGGCGGUUAUAUAAGACAGAUGUGAAAUCCCCGGGCUCAGCCUGGGACCUGCAUUUGUGACUGUAUAGCUAGAGUACGGUAGAGGGGGAUGGAAUUCCGCGUGUAGCAGUGAAAUGCGUAGAUAUGCGGAGGAACACCGAUGGCGAAGGCAAUCCCCUGGACCUGUACUGACGCUCAUGCACGAAAGCGUGGGGAGCAAACAGGAUUAGAUACCCGAGUAGUCCCUGUCUCUUAUAC
rnacentral:rRNA from 1 species